GGUGACGACAUGGAGAAAGAAUGGCAGCGUCGACUUCGUCUUGGCCUCCACAUCCUCCAUGUGGCAUGGUCUUGGUUUCGGCAAAUGAGCUUCGGUGAAGGAGAAUCGAAGAAGAGAGAGACGUUGGGUUCGCCGGCAAGUUCUAGAUUCUAGCCAAGGUGGUGAGAAAGUUCGGUGGUGGUAGCUUCGCCUCGACUUGGCGAACGUCCUUGUGGUACUGGUUUUCAAAGAGAAGCUUUGAGGAGGGAGAAUCGAUUAGCGAAGGUCUAUGUGUUUUUUGGCGAGUUUCCAUGCUUUCCGGAAUCUAAGAACAAACAGCAGCAGUUGUUAUGGGUUUCCAGCAGUGGAUGACCACCGUGAAGUUACUAUUCACAACGGCAGCAGUGAUGGUGAUAGCUGGUGGUUAAUUGUCUCUAGGUUUUGGUAAGCUUGGUAGUAGUAGUAGAAUCCAAUUGUGUUGGUGUGUUGCUUGAAUUUUAGAGAUGGAGGAGUUGGGUGAAUAAAGGUUGGGUCGGGUUCUUUAAGAACAGAGAAGCUAUGAUGAAUUGUAAAGUUUAGAUGUUUGGUAUAUAUGUUGACGAGAUGUAUUUUGGGUUGAAUUGCUUAACAUAUGGAGUUUGUGGUU